GUGAGACGUAACUGUAAGUGACUCUGCAACUGCACCCUAGUAUCUCUAGUGGAAGAAUUAAGUGGCGUAGUAGAGGUUUUAGGACGAGUUACAACGAAAGCAACCAUUAUGGCUGGCACAUGUAUGCCAUUGCAGGAAGACAAUAACAGUUUUGACUUGGGUCUUUACAAUGAAGCUCUGAAAAUUAUUCAUGAUUCCCCCCAGUACUAUCCUUUUUAAAUAAAGUCAAGUGAAUGAUGGGCUCCUCCUCCUCCUCUAGUAUCAGCUGAAAAAGACCUAAACCAAUAUCACUCUUUUGGAGAAUGACCUUUGUUUCUAUUUUUAGGUGACUUAGGCUGGGACCAAAUCAAAACUUUGACAACCCGCUAAUCGCACUUAACAAAACUGUAUUUAAUAGCUUUUUAUUUUGGUAUCUUAUUUCUUCUACUCAUAAAAAGAAAACGCUAUUAAAUACAGUUUUGUUAAGUGCGAUUAGCGGGUUGUCAAAGUUUUGAUUUGGUCCCAGCCUUAAUGUCUUCCAUCUGUAAACAUACAAGGAAAGUUAACUUAAAGGGUUUGAAUAAUACAAGCUUGAUAACGUUACAUAUAAGCAUAUCAUUUGUUAUAUAUUCUGUGUUUAUGUUUUUCUCCCUAUUAGUAAACAUGUGUCACACUUUGGGCACAAAUAAGUUCCGUGAAAGUACUGUAACUCUGUUCUUGUUUCUUC